AUUUCCUGGCUCGUGAUUUCUCCCUCCCGUGGUGCCUCGGCCGGAGAUUCCCGACGAUCCCGACGAUCCCAGCGCCGCAUCCCCCUCUCCGGGAGCUGGAAUUCGGCUCCUCCCCCCCCCUCCCCGCUCCCCCCGCCCCCCGGAGCAGCUUUUUGAGGGGUCAUUCCCGGCUCCCGGCUCCGUCACCCAGGGGUCAUUCCCGGCUCCCGGCCCUCCCGAUCCCGCCGUUCCCGCUCCGCAUCCCGGGAUGGAGCCCUUGGCUCCCGUCGCCUUCCUGGCCCUGCUGGGGGUGGCCCUGGGACACCCCGACCCCGCCCUGGAUCGGCACUGGGAGCUCUGGAAAAAAACCUACGGGAAGGAAUAUCGGCACCAGAAGGAGGAUUCGCUCCGUCGGGCGACGUGGGAGAAGAACCUGUGGCUGGUGACGCUCCACAACCUGGAGCAUUCCCUGGGAAUCCGCUCCUACACCCUGGGAAUGAACCACCUGGGGGACAUGACCAGUGAGGAGGUGGCGGCGGCGCUGACGGGGCUCCGGGUGGCUCCUCGUCCACGUGGGAACUCGGCAUUCCGAGCCUGGCCGGUCGGGAACGUCCCGGAGGAGAUGGAUUGGCGGGAGAAGGGAUGUGUCACCGAGGUGAAGAACCAGGGCGCCUGCGGAUCCUGCUGGGCCUUCAGCGCCGUGGGAGCUCUGGAAGCGCAGGUGAAGCUGAAAACCGGGAAUCUGGUGUCCCUGAGCACGCAGAACCUGGUGGAUUGCUCCGGGAUGUACGGGAACAAGGGCUGUGCCGGCGGCUACAUGACCGAGGCCUUCCAGUACAUCAUCGACAACCACGGCAUCGAAUCCGAGGAAUCCUAUCCCUACACGGCCCAGAACGGGACGUGCCACUACAACGCCUCGGCCAGCGCCGCCUCCUGCUCCCGCUACGUGGAGCUGCCGGAGGGGGACGAGGCCGCGCUCCGGGACGCCGUGGCCACCGUGGGGCCCGUGGCGGUGGCCAUCGACGCCACCCGGCCCACCUUCUUCCUGUACCGCUCCGGGGUGUACGACGACCCCCAGUGCACGCAGGAGGUGAACCACGCGGUGCUGGUGGUGGGAUACGGAUCCCUGGAAAACAAGGAAUACUGGCUGGUGAAGAACAGCUGGGGGGUCUGGUUUGGAGACUCGGGAUACAUCCGGAUGGCCCGGAACGCUUCCAACCGCUGCGGCAUCGCCAGCUACGCCUCCUAUCCCGUCAUUUAGCCGGAUCCCAACGCUCCUUCCAGGGAAUUCUUCCGCUUCCGGCGGCGUUUUCCGCCUCUGGGGAUUGGAAACAGGGAUUGGACACAGGGACCACAGGGACCAGGUUCAGGGAUCACAGGGAUCUCAGGGAUCGUGGGAUCAUCCCUCUGGAUGAGUCCACGGAGCUGCUGCGAUGCUGGGGGAGUUGACUCCUCCCCAUGUGAUGCUGCUGGAAUUGCGGAUAUUCCUGGGAAAAUAAAAGGUUGCAUUCGCUGUCUGGAAA